rnacentral:tRNA from 1 species
GCUUAGGUAGCUCAGCUGGUAGAGCACUUGCCCGCAAAAGGCAAAGGUCCCGAGUUCGAGUCUCGGUCCUGAACA